rnacentral:rRNA from 1 species
UACAGAGGUCUCAAGCGUUUGUUCGGAUUCAUUGGGCGUAAAGGGUGUGUAGGUGGCGCCGUUAGUCGGGUGUGAAAUUUCGGAGCUUAACUCCGAAACUGCAUUCGAUACUGCGGUGCUUUGAGGACUGGAGAGGAGACUGGAAUUCAUGGUGUAGCAGUGAAAUGCGCAGAUAUCAGGAGGAACACCGGUGGCGAAGGCGGCCUUUCUGGACAGUGACUGACGCUGAGACGCGAAAGCGUGGGGAGCAAACAGG